GUCAACGCUCAAACCGCGUUGAAAUCACUCAUUCUCGUCCGAUCACGAAAGUUACGCAGCGCUGGGCACGAAUAGUACUUAGAUGGUUGACCGCUUGGGAACUCCGUGUGAUGUUGGCA
rnacentral:rRNA from 1 species